AUACAUAUCAAUAAGCGGAGGAAAAGAAACCAACAGGGAUUGCCCUAGUAACGGCGAGUGAAGCGGCAACAGCUCAAAUUUGAAAUCUGGCUCUUUCAGAGUCCGAGUUGUAAUUUGCAGAGGGCGCUUUGGCGUUGGCAGCGGUCCAAGUUCCUUGGAACAGGACGUCACAGAGGGUGAGAAUCCCGUACGUGGUCGCUGGCCUUCGCCGUGUAAAGCCCCUUCGACGAGUCGAGUUGUUUGGGAAUGCAGCUCUAAAUGGGAGGUAAAUUUCUUCUAAAGCUAAAUACUGGCCAGAGACCGAUAGCGCACAAGUAGAGUGAUCGAAAGAUGAAAAGCACUUUGGAAAGAGAGUCAAAUAGCACGUGAAAUUGUUGAAAGGGAAGCGCUUGCAGCCAGACUUGCCUGUAGUUGCUCAUCCGGGCUUUUGCCCGGUGCACUCUUCUGCGGGCAGGCCAGCAUCAGUUUAGGCGGUUGGAUAAAGGUCUCUAUCAAGUACCUCUCUUCGGGGAGGCCUUAUAGGGGAGACGUAAUGCAGCCAGCUUGAACUGAGGUCCGCGCAUUUUGCUAGGAUGCUGGCGUAAUGGCUGUAAGCGGCCCGUCUUGAAACACGGACCAAGGAGUCUAACAUCUAUGCGAGUGUUUGGGUGUCAAGCCCGAACGCGUAAUGAAAGUGAACGGAGGUGGGAACCCAUUAGGGUGCACCAUCGACCGAUCCUGAUGUCUUCGGAUGGAUUUGAGUAAGAGCAUGGCUGUUGGGACCCGAAAGAUGGUGAACUAUGCUUGAAUAGGGUGAAGCCAGAGGAAACUCUGGUGGAGGCUCGCAGCGGUUCUGACGUGCAAAUCGAUCGUCAAAUUUGGGCAUAGGGGCGAAAGACUAAUCGAACUAUCUAGUAGCUGGUUCCUGCGAGU
rnacentral:rRNA from 1 species